rnacentral:rRNA from 1 species
UACGGAGUGGCAGACGGGUGAGUAACACGUGGGAACGUACCCUUUGGUUCGGAACAACACAGGGAAACUUGUGCUAAUACCGGAUAAGCCCUUACGGGGAAAGAUUUAUCGCCGAAGGAUCGGCCCGCGUCUGAUUAGCUAGUUGGUGAGGUAAUGGCUCACCAAGGCGACGAUCAGUAGCUGGUCUGAGAGGAUGAUCAGCCACACUGGGACUGAGACACGGCCCAG